UCUUUAAAGCUUGUCAACACUACGCACUUUGCACCAUGCGGAUUCUCUCCAAAGGGGGAGAGUAUCUUGAUUCCCAACCUUGGGUGACUGGUCCCGCGCGAGAAAGCUUAGUAAGAAUCAAAAAAAUAAUAAUAAACAAACUAUUAUAAAUAAUAAGAAGAAGAAUAAUAAUGAGAGCAGGCAGGGGGGGAAGCGCGACGAAGUGACGGGCGUGGGGAAAAGGAGAGCUACGACUGUGCGAGGGUGCGAGGUGCUACUUCGAGGUGUUGACAAGAGCUGGAUAUGGAGUUGACGGGCAGUGGGGACUGCCAGAGUCCUUUUUGUCUGUUUUGCCUCCAGCUUCGAACAUGGUAGCGAUCUUGCCCUCCUGUCACAGGCUGUUCCUUACUUUUUCCAGUGUGGGGAGCUGGCUUUCGGGGGGCGAAGGCUGUGGGGGUGGUGUCACUGUGCAAACGCAAAGCAGAGGCGGAGGUGGGGACCCCCCUAGGGGGAAGUGGUGGAAUGCAUGUGAGCUGACAUGUGGAAGAGGCGAAUCCUGCACUGCGAGACGACGACGACGACGAUGAUGCCCCGCUUGAUGCAUCCAUGCGUCGCCUGCU
rnacentral:lncRNA from 1 species